rnacentral:rRNA from 1 species
AGAGGGAAACAGCCCAGAGCAUCGACUAAGGCCCCUAAGCGUACGCUAAGUGGGAAAGGAUGUGGAGUCGCACAGACAACCAGGAGGUUGGCUUAGAAGCAGCCACCCUUGAAAGAGUGCGUAAUAGCUCACUGGUCUAGUGAUUCCGCGCCGACAAUGUAGCGGGGCUCAAGCGUACCGCCGAAGUCGUGUCAUUGCAGCAGAUAGCCCCAACGGGUGCUGUGAUGGGUAGGGGAGCGUCGUCUGCCGGGUGAAGCAGCCGCGGAAGCGAGUUGUGGACGGUUGACGAGUGAGAAUGCAGGCAUGAGUAGCGAUUCACACGUGAGAAACGUGUGCGCCGAUUGACUAAGGGUUCCUGGGUCAAGCUGAUCUGCCCAGGGUAAGUCGGGACCUAAGGCGAGGCCGACAGGCGUAGUCGAUGGAUAACCGGUUGAUAUUCCGGUACCCGCUGUGAAGCGUCAAACAUCGAAUCCAGUGAUGCUAAGCCCGUGAAGCCGCCGGCUGAGUCUUCGGACGAGGUCGGAGUGGUGGAGCCGGUGACCCGAGCUGGUAGUAGGUGAGUGAUGGGGUGACGCA